CCUACGGGAGGCAGCAGUGGGGGAUAUUGCACAAUGGCGGGAACCCUGAUGCAGCGACGCCGCGUGGGUGAAGAAGCGCCUCGGCGCGUAAAGCCCUGUCAGCAGGGAAGAAAAUGACGGUACCUGAAGAAGAAGCCCCGGCUAACUACGUGCCAGCAGCCGUGGGAAUACGUAGGGGGCAAGCGUUAUCCGGAUUUACUGGGUGUAAAGGGGGCGCAGACGGCGAUGCAAGCCAGGAGUGAAAGCCCGGGGCCCAACCCCGGGACUGCUCUUGGAACUGGGUGGCUGGAGUGCAGGAGGGGCAGGCGGAAUUCGUGGUGUAGCGGUGAAAUGCGUAGAUAUCAGGAGGAACACCGGUGGCGAAGGCGGCCUGCUGGACUGCAACUGACGUUGAGGCCCGAAAGCGUGGGGAGCAAACAGGAUUAGAUACCCGGGUAGUC
rnacentral:rRNA from 1 species